rnacentral:tRNA from 1 species
CGAAGGUUAAGCUUCAAAGCGCUGAUGGUACUGCAGGGGAGGCCCUGUGGAAGAGUAAGUCGUUGCCAGAUGAAUAUGAUUCACUAGCUCAGUUGGUAGAGCACAUGACUUUUAAUCAUGUUGUCCGGGGUUCGAUUCCCCGGUGGAUCACCAAAGCACUUUACAAAAUUGUAAAGUGCUUUUUAUUUUUCAAUAA